UAGCUCAUCGGGAUAGAGCGUCAGCCUUCGAAGCUGGUUGCGCGAGGUUCGAGUCCCCGG
rnacentral:tRNA from 1 species